GAUUCAGAAUCCAAGGCUACAGGAGGUAAUAAGGCCAUUGGGCCUGCCUCUCCUCUCCUUCUCAGCUCCCCACUCCCCCUGCCCCCCUGCUUUUGUGGGUCUCCAUUCUGAGAUUUCCAUUGAGG
rfam:Callithrix jacchus chromosome 3, whole genome shotgun sequence